UAUAAAGAAAAUGAAUUUAUUUUUUUUAAUUCCAACAAAAAUGAUGUACAAAAACAUUUGUAAAUUUAGUUAUUGAAUUAAUAUGCAUUUCAUAUUUAUUUAAUUUAACAUUUAGCAUCUACACGAGCUAUUUGUUUAAACGAACACUGAACGAUUAUUACAGUUUUCAUAGUACAAACCGGAAGACUUUUUAUUAUAUUUUUAUUUCACUUUCACUCACACUUUCCACUCUCCCCACUCACACUUUUCACUCCCACCCACUCACACUUUUCACUUCCACUCACCCUUUCCACUCUCCCCACUCACACGAUACCUUGCCCCCCCAUUCCCUUCCACUCACCAUUUCUCCUACAUACCAAGGAACUAAGUGCGGAGCUACACCCACAGAAGUUCAGCUAUACCACACGGACUCCACAAACUCAGCUGAAAGCUCUAAAAACUUCAUCUACAAAUCACUCUGCCCAUUUUACCUCCAUUCACGGCUUUGAGCAUCAGAAGGAUUAGCACUGCUAUUCCGAUUCAGAGAUAAGGUUAAACGACAGGCUUUGCCUAUUCAGGUUGAGCAGCUACCGAUGGUGAUGAAGUGACGAGCGAGAUUCUUCUACCUUAUUAUGUAUUAAUGAACUCUAGGGUUACAUGUCUUCAUACAUGUAAUCAGAACCUUAUUCCGCUGCGUACUCAGAAGUUUUAUGUUAUUUUGGCUG